UAUCUGCAGAUGAAUCAUGACUGAAUGGA
rnacentral:piRNA from 1 species